UUUGAGAUCAACUUCAAAUAUUCAUUAAGAAUGGCUAAGUUUUUAAACUCAAUUCUUUGCUUCUUUCUUAUUCUGUCAGUUACAAUGACAAGUACACAAGUGAAAGCUCAACAAAGAUGUUCUGAGACAUUGAAGGCCUCAGAUUGCACCAUGGCUGAGUGUCAAAGUGAAUGCUUACAAAAACAUAAUGGAACUGGAGUUUGUACUGGCGGCAAUAUAGGCCCCUUAAGUUGUGUUUGUGUUUACAAUUGCUAGCUUCAAUAUUUUGAAUUCUCCCAUUUUAUGAGAGAAAAAAAGAGUUAUCAAUAAAAUAUUAAUCAAUUUCCUAA